UCAUCUUCUUCAAUAUUAAUGAUAUUUUUAACUUUGUUUUUGAAUUUGUCUCUUUUCGUUCUAAUUUUAUCUAAAUCGACACUUCUUCUAGUCUUACGUGCAUAUUCUGUUGUCUUAUCUUGAAGUUG
rnacentral:sRNA from 1 species